UACGGAGGGUGCAAGCGUUGUUCGGAAUCACUGGGCUUAAAGCGCGUGUAGGCGGGCCGUUAAGUGUCGGGUGAAAUCCCCGGUCUCAAUCCGGGAACUGCUCGGCAUACUGGCGGUCUUGAGGCAAGUAGAGGUGACUGGAACGACGGGUGGAGCGGUGAAAUGCGUAGAUAUCCGUUGGAACGCCGGAGGCGAAAGCGGGUCACUGGGCUUGUCCUGACGCUGAGACGCGAAAGCGUGGGUAGCAAACAGG
rnacentral:rRNA from 1 species